UGUGGAAACUUUGUUCUUUCGCUGUAUGUAAUAACUCUUGCUACUGUAGCUCGCUUUUUGGGUCUACGCUGCUUCUAUAAGCUGUAACAUUCACAGGGAAGAUCUGCAGCUUCACUCCUGAGACCACGAGCCCACUGGAAAGAACAAACAACUCCCGAAGUGCUACCUUAUAGAGCUAUAACACUCACCGCGAAGGUCUGCAGCUUCACUCCUGAGCCAGGGAGACCACAAACCCACCAGAAGGAAAAAACUCCGAAUACAUCUGAACAUCAGGAGGGACAGACUCCAGACGGGCCACCUGAAAAGCUGUAACACUCACCGUGAGGGUCCGGGGCUUCAUUCUUGAAGUUAGUGAGACCAAGAACCCACCAAUUCGGGACACACUUGGACCAUCCGCUUCCCAGGAAGCGUCAGCCCUGGGGUGCCCAUGCCCAGAAGCCCACUCCAGCCCUGAUAGUCGCCUCCCAGCUGAGCCAGGAACCUGGGGCUGAGCUCCAUCCUCAACCUUAAAAACUUGUCAUCUCACCUGUCCCGAGGAUGUGCGGUACCUGCCCUACUUCUACCAUCCUCACCCUACUCUUUUCCUGGGCUAGCGUUAUGAUGUCUAAACCUAUCUAUCAUCCCGUUCUGUGCUCUGUAUAUUCAUUUUCCACAUAACGUAAAAUGUAGGUCUGGCUAAGCCCCCUCCACAUGGACAACGUGGGCCCUACUCUCCACAGACUCCAGCCACCUGCGACCCCUUCUGCCUCAUGCUACGUGUGAUCACAGCCUUUUCUCCUGUUGCUAUCCUGACCGAGAUGCUCCUCUAACAAGCUUGUCCACCCUUUCACACCCCUCAGCACACGCCCUGGCUUCAUAUGGCCGCCUGGUACCCUCCCUGCCGUUUCUGCCCAGAUCUGUUCUGUGCCCAGCAGGUGUUAUUGGCUUCAUCUACUUGCAGGUCUGUCCUUACUAACUGGAACACCCCCGAGGGCAGGAACGGUUUACCCCAGCAUGGAGCACAGUUCCGGGGCCCUAGGAGGAGCUCAGAGGACCUGUGGGAAAUGUUCCCAUGGGCAAUGACUCCCUGAAUGUAACGUCGUAUGUCACCUUGGAGGGAAAGACCCCAUAAAAACCUAAUCAUAUUCAAGGGAAAGGAGCUUGGCUUUCCUGGGUACAGCCUAAUGGUGUUGGUGACUGGGGUAGGAAGGGGACUCAGCUUCUAUUGUAUCAUGUUCUCGUCGAUUCCUCCUUAUCCUGACUGUGAGCCCGAGAGGGCAGGGACCAAGGUCCUAAUGUAUCCCAGCGGAGCGUACACAUAGUAGGUACCUACGUCGUGUUGGUUGACUGAAAGUCUUCUCACCCAGCAGGAGGCAGGCAGUGAUGAGGGGACCUCAGAGGGGUGCUCUGGACUGUUACCUCAGAAGAGGAACUAUGCAGAGCGGGGCGGGCUAGCUGGGGAUGCAGCUCAGGGAGGAGACUGACCUACCGUGACCAUCCCACACCUCCGCAGGCACCAGGGCUUGCCCCCUGGGUCAGGGCAUCGGACUGUUUAGAUGCAAAGAAAGAGUCCUGGGCUGGGAGUCUGGAGCUUCCAGUCUGUUUUCAGCGGUGUGUUUUAGUCAAGGCAUUUUUACACUCUCUGGACCUCUGUCUCCUCAAAUGCAAAAUGAAGAGCUGGACCGGAAACUUUUUCUCGUCCAGUUCCAGUAGCUCAUCUUUCUGCACGAAGGAUAUGGGCUCGGAGUCGGAGGAACUGGGUUCAAGAGCUGGGGCUCCACUUACCAGGUGUAAGUCCUUGGCCAGGUUACUUAAUCUCCCAAAGCUGCAAUUUUCUCACCUGUAGAGCAGGACUGACAAUCAUUAGCUACCUCUCAGAUUCUUGGGAUUAGGUAUGCUUUCAGGUGAAAACACUCCAUACGCUAAGGCACUAUGUGAAUGUUGGUGGUGGUGGUUGUUUUUCUUAUUUACUUAA
rnacentral:lncRNA from 1 species